AACCCAUGCAUAGGACACUUCUACAACAAAUCUUUGAAUCUUUCCCAUACUUCAUAAAAGCUUUCAUCAUCCAUUUGCUUGAAUGAGGUUAAGUCAUUUCGAAGCUU